CAGGGUUUUUUUUAGAAUUUUUCUAGCUGGCUUUCUGGUUUUCACUGGAAAACCCAU
ensembl:snRNA U7 U7 small nuclear RNA